CGGGUGAGUAACACGUGAGUGACCUGCCUUUUAGACUGGAACAACGUUACCGAAAGGUGAGGCUAAUGCCGGAUGAGUUAUAUAAGUGCGAUGUUUAUAUAGGAAAAGUUGGGGAGACCUGACGCUGAAAGAUGGACUCGCGUCCCAUUAGCUAGUUGGUAGGGUAAUGGCCUACCAAGGCGACGAUGGGUAGCCGGCCUGAGAGGGUGGCCGGCCACACUGGGACUGAGACACGGCCCAGACUCCUACGGGAGGCAGCAG
rnacentral:rRNA from 1 species